rfam:Hordeum vulgare subsp. vulgare, WGS project CAJW01000000 data, contig: morex_contig_12327
UGGCGAUGAUGAUAAUACUUAGGCUUGUUUCUCAAAACAUUCGCAGUUGCCGCCUAAGAGCUUUCGCCCUGCCAGGCUUGAGAGCUAAUGCUGCUAAUUCCUUCCUUGGAUGUCUGAGCCA